AUGGAGCCUGAUAGGGAGGGUGCAAAGGCAGACAAGUCCCUAGAAUGCAGCCAUGCAAAUCUUGCAGGCAAUGUAAACCAGCGGGGUCACACAGCAACCAAUGGGUUUGGAAUGCAAACUCACACAACAGCAAAUACAGAUGGACCAGUAGAAAAUGGGCACAAGGGCAACACACCUCUGGGCAGUGAAAAAAUCACAAUACUUGAUGACACCCCAAUAUCAUCAGCCCCACCUCUCGACCGUUUUGUGCAUCACACACCAAGUCCAGCCACUGGUGUUCCAUACAUGGCCAGCUCCAGCACUCCUGCAACAAGCAAGUCAUGCCUAGCCCCUAGUAGCCAAAAGAAAGGGGGAACACCCACAUCAGUGCAAUCCAGGGAAGCCCAUGCAGCACAGCUGGCAACGGCUACGAUCAGGGAGAAGCUACGAUUGGGGCCACUCGCACAGCAGCAAGCAAUGCAACAGGCACAAGCUGGCUCAUCAAACCCUGUAUUCACACCAUCAAGUUACACCAACCACCCAGUCAGAGCAACACAAGAUUGUCCAUCUUUCGAUCUUAACAUAAGUUUUCACGAAGAUGAGGGCACCAACAGAGGCCAAUCCACAUAA
rnacentral:rRNA from 1 species